rnacentral:sRNA from 1 species
CUGCUGCAGAUGCUGUUUGAGGAAGCUCUGCCCCUCAGCUGCUCUGAUCCUGUGCUUAGCACUCUUAGCCUGGUGCAGGGUCUGCUGUCUGCUCACUCUCACAGUGUCCUGCCCAGGGCCUGACCCUCCUGAGGGGCCCGGGACCCAGCGUGUGUGGCAAGGGGCUCUACGGAUCCUCCAGCUCCCAGGAGCCCCCAGGUGAUAGAGUCACCAGUAAGCCAGAGCCCAUGCCUCGAGGGGGAGCCCCAAGGUGGGUCUGGGACUUGGGGAUGAGCUGGGAGUGGGAGGUCUUCCCUGCCUUUGGUGUGAUUAAUUACAUUUUCCUCUAGUGGCAGGAAGAAUGGCAACUCUAAGGCGUGGGCUCCACCGAAAGAAUCCUCUCAGGCAGCCUAAGGAGCAGGCCCGGAGGCAGAGACUGAGGGAGCAGCACCAAAUUUGGAUUUGAGAGAAGCUGAAGCAUUUGGAACAGAAGGAGGAGGUGGCAGAUGACCAGGUCAAAGGCCUGGUGGCUGAAGAGGAG